rnacentral:lncRNA from 1 species
AUAGCCAACCAGCAUACUGAGAGUGCCUUCCACACACCAAUCACCAGAGUCCAGAACUGCACGGCUUAAACCUGGUGAAUGGGUGAGAAGACAGAUCACAAACAGUUAACUGGAUAAAUGAGUCAAUGAGCAACCUACUAAACACAGAAAUAAGCAAGUGGCCGAGCAGGGUUGGUGUCAUGCCCCACGCUGGUUUAGAGCUCAACACGUUGUCCUGGCUGGCCUUGAAUUUUCAAUCUUCCUGUCUCUGCUUCCUGAGUACUGGGCUUGCAAGGCCAUCAAUGUUAGUCCCUCCCCGAAGGCCUGCAUCUAUGGAGUGGCGCUCACGAGUGUCUCCAUCUAAGUCUGUGUUUCUAAGUCCUUCUUCCAAGAACCAGCCCCAGAAGGUGUCUGCCUCCCCACCCCCACCUCUGACAACCAUCGAAAGCUUCACAGUAAAUUCAUGGCUGCCUGGCUGGGAAACAGGCGGCGGCAA